rnacentral:tRNA from 2 species
GGGGGCGUAGCUCAGAUUGGUUAGAGCGCCGGCCUGUCACGCCGGAAGUCGCGAGUUCAAGUCUCGUCGUCCCCGCCA